rnacentral:rRNA from 1 species
GACGAACGCUGGCGGCGUGCCUAAUACAUGCAAGUCGAGCGAGCGGAACUAACAGAUUUACUUCGGUAAUGACGUUAGGAAAGCGAGCGGCGGAUGGGUGAGUAACACGUGGGGAACCUGCCCCAUAGUCUGGGAUACCACUUGGAAACAGGUGCUAAUACCGGCUAAGAAAGCAGAUCGCAUGAUCAGCUUUUAAAAGGCGGCGUAAGCUGUCGCUAUGGGAUGGCCCCGCGGUGCAUUAGCUAGUUGGUAAGGUAAAGGCUUACCAAGGCGAUGAUGCAUAGCCGAGUUGAGAGACUGAUCGGCCACAUUGGGACUGAGACACGGCCCAAACUCCUACGGGAGGCAGCAGUAGGGAAUCUUCCACAAUGGACGCAAGUCUGAUGGAGCGACGCCGCGUGAGUGAAGAAGGUUUUCGGAUCGUAAAGCUCUGUUGUUGGUGAAGAAGGAUAGAGGUAGUAACUGGCCUUUAUUUGACGGUAAUCAACCAGAAAGUCACGGCUAACUACGUG